rnacentral:tRNA from 1 species
AAGGAUUUAAGUUAAUUUAAACUAGGAACCUUCAAAGUUUCCAAUAAAGUUAAUUCUUUAAGCCUUA